GACGAACGCUGGCGGCGUGCUUAACACAUGCAAGUCGAACGGAAAGGCCCCUUUGGGGGUACUCGAGUGGCGAACGGGUGAGUAACACGUGAGUAACCUGCCCUUGACUUCGUGAUAACUUCAGGAAACUGGGGCUAAUACCGGAUAGGAAUCCUUGCUGCAUGGUGGGGGUUGGAAAGCUUCGGCGGUUUUGGAUGGACUCGCGGCUUAUCAGCUUGUUGGUGGGGUAGUGGCUUACCAAGGCUUUGACGGGUAGCCGGCCUGAGAGGGCGACCGGCCACAUUGGGACUGAGAUACGGCCCAGACUCCUACGGGAGGCAGCAGUGGGGAAUAUUGCACAAUGGGCGGAAGCCUGAUGCAGCAACGCCGCGGGCGGGAUGACGGCCUUCGGGUUGUAAACCGCUUUCAGCAGGGGCGAAGCUUGUGGUGACGGUACCUGCAGAAGAAGCACCGGCUAACUACGUG
rnacentral:rRNA from 1 species